UCAAGCCAUUCAAAUUACGGAGCCAUUUUUGUUGAACCUUCCUUUUUCUUUCAUAACUCUUUCUUUGCCUAUAAGUUCCCCCAACUUGCUAUUCUAAACCCAAACGCUAAAACCACAGCUUUAAGAAAUCCUAUCCCUUCCUCACAACUCCUUCCCCUUCAUAGUUUCCAAAAGUAAUUCAAAAACCCAAACACCACAGCUUCACGAAAUCCGAAAACCUCCCGUUUAUACAGAAAUGCUGGCAGGUACUGGUAGGCAAAUCAAAGAAAGCACCGAGCUUUCUUCAAAAUCUUCACUUUCCGGAAUCAAAAUGGACGAGCUUAGUCUUGAUCGGAAACACAGUCUCAUGUCGACGUCAUCUCCUCAUCUGAAGUCACGGCCCCCCUGCACCUGCUCGAACCGGCCCGGUUUGGUCCGGUGCACGCGUCACGGGUACGCGGUUCCGGAGAGGAGGCUAAAGAAGCGUCCGACGAGCCAGGAGAUCUUGAGGAGGGCUCUAACGCCGCCGCCGCGAAGGUUGGCCCUCAGGUGGCUGAAUUUCCGGCCGACUCCGAGCAGGCUCUCUGUCAUGUCCACGGCUUGAGUUUUGUUCUGGUUUGGUAAUUAUUGGAUAAGUUGCGUAAUAUACUGUGCAUAUACUAUAAUUAUCUUAUUCUUUUGUUCAUCUCGCUUCCUAAUCUCUUGAUUCUGCAAGUCGGUAUUGUCAUCUGUGUUGAGGAAGUCAUGUUCUGUAUCUGAGAAAUGUAUCCGUACUUCAGAAGUACUGUAAUGAAUAAAGUAUGGAAAAAAGCAUGAGAUUGCCUUUUGAAAUUUUUGUUAUCUUUAUGCAGUUUUCAAAAUUAUCUCUCAAUUUACUGGAAGAGAAUAAGAAGUAUGUCAGUGGCAUCUCUCUUCAAUUUUGUGUUGGUUUUAUGUAACCGUGAUGUUCUUUUCUACGAUGUUCUUUUCAACUGCAAUGUAUUGACACUCUUCGGAGAGGAAACGAGUUGGAUCAUCUUGGGCAUGAUCAAAAUCCGAUGAAUUAUGUGAUAGCAUCGUAGUGGAUUAGUAAUUCAAAAGAAAGUUUCAGUUGACUCUCACUUGCUGAUAUGAUCGAGCAGAAAAGGUCCAGGGCUUCAGGGGAUGAUAGAAGAAUUAAUAUCUAGUUAGAACAUAGUUAACACAAUGACACUCAAUAUGUGACUGCUUAAUGAUGGAAACGCAACAUUUCUGUUAUGUCUCGGAGUUUCAAAUUUCAUUUUGUGGCAGUAAUCAAGACCUUGUGAUUCACCGCAAGAAAUGAUGCAAAUUUAGGUGGAAAUGUAUGUGUCAAUAAGAAGAAACUAAUUUGAGAAAAAGAAAUCUCUUGUAUUUAUCAUUGUUGUUUUCCCCUCCGCUUGAAGAAGCCUCCCCAAAAAAUCAGAAAUAACAGAAAAGAAAAACAAAAACAGAACAGAACAAGAAUGAUCUGCAGAGAUGAUCAUGUUUUAGAAAGCAUCUAUUCAUCCUUGCUUUUGCCUACCUGUGCACCUUCACCUCCAACUCAAACUUAAGCAGCAGCAUAGAGUCUCCUCUGUUUUCAAACUUCCUACCUUCACUACCUUUGGUCCACUGCAUUUCGUGUACACUCUCUUUUAUCAUUUUUCAGGUCCAAUUACAAAAGAAAAAUGCCCAAGUUAAUCAUGAAUAUAUAUAUAUAUAUAUGUAUGUAUUGAUGAAGAAACAUUAGAUUACAACAGAAGGUACCACCUGGCCCAAAAAGAAAAAAAGAAAAGCAACAGAAGGUACUACAGUAGACUAGAACUAACCUGAUUCCUAACAAUUACACUGCCAUUAAAAAACAUUCCUCGAAGCUUUCUAGUAUCAAGGAUUCACUCGAAGAGGACGAAACUACUGCUAGUCUCCCCAUUGCAAUCUCAAACCUUGGCUUCCAUUCCUGAACCAAUUUUGUUUGAAAAUCCGUAUACAAAUCCAAGGUGAUGCAUUUCUGCUUUCUAUAACUUGUGGAGUUUAAUAAUCCAACCUACGUAGAUACUGUAACAUUGCUGGCAUACAAUGCAUUGCUUGCCCCAUUGAAUGUUAGUAUUCUUCUCUGUCUUAAUCUGAUUUAUUUGAUAAAAAGCCUCUUGUACAUGACCAGAAUAUCAAUCGUUUUUGCUGUUAUUCCUUAUGAUGCGACACUUUGUUCCCGUGACAUUGCAUGCCAUAUAAUAUGAUGCAAACAGAAAUGAUGCUAUGACAGGUUACCUACUGUGGUAAUCAAAGCAGGGGCCACGGGUACCAGCUCUCUUCACUGUAAAUUUCGAGUAACUAUAUAUAUUCUGAGGAUUAUUUUCAUCCCCUUGCAAAUUCAGGAUUCAUGAGAUCUGUUCAAAAUGCUUCAAUCCUCAACCUGGAGCAAUAUUUUGGUUUCAGAGCUUUAGCGAAAACAAUAUUCUCUGUUGCAGUAAACAAGUCCCCAUAAUUAAAGGGGAAAAACCCCAGAGAAGAUUACUUAUUGACAGUGUCUGAAGAAAGAGCAAGACGAGUCGGAAUUCGACAUCAGUAUCAUGACCUCAUGGGCAAGUUCCUCCGACAUUACCAUCCUCUGGUAAUUUAGCAGGUAUUGUUAUUUAUCACAGACAUUCUUGUCCACUCAUGUCGUUUAAUUCGCAUAUGAAAUCUCUAAUUGUAUGUAUGAGAAUGAAACCAUGUGAAUAAUUGUUAUGCAUAUAGAAGUGACAAACACUGAUGAAGUCUAUUCCCCAAGUAAAGAAUGAAACCACAAAGCGGAGAGUGAAUAGUUGUGGUGGUGAGUUUGUCUAUCACACACACAAAAGAAAGAGAGGCUAUGGGUUACGACAGUCAUAGUGGCAGUGACAAGCAAAGAUGUAACAGGCUCCUCCAAUGGCUUCCUCUCCUGUCCUGCACAGUUCAGUACAUUUGCUUGAGCUGAAGCACGGCCCUCUGAAUGUUCCACUUGCCUUCCCACACAAAGCUUGCACCCUUUCUACUCCUGCAAUGUAAUGAUUAAUAUGCAUAUAUAUAUAUGUAUAUAUAUCAUGAAAGAAAUCAAAGAUAAUCAGAAAGAUGAGGGAUCAGUAACCAGUGGCUGAUAAAAGGAGAAGGGCCCCGCAUAAAAAGACUGCCAAGGUGAGCAGUUUCCUAAUUGAACUACCCAUUUUUCUUUGGCUGGAGUUCGAGAAGAAGCUGUUACACAUAUAUAAUUGAAGUGUUUGUGUGGAUUGUCCGAGCGCUGGUCUUGUCUUUUUCUGGUGUUGAAUUAUUGUUGUUUUUCCCCAGUCGAUGGGUGUACUGUACAUACGGAGUCCGGCGACAUGUAUAUUAUGAUUGCAAUAUUUUGAUUA